rnacentral:rRNA from 1 species
ACGGGUGAGUAACGCGUGGGAAUAUGCCCUUUGGUACGGAACAACUGAGGGAAACUUCAGCUAAUACCGUAUGUGCCCUUCGGGGGAAAGAUUUAUCGCCAUUGGAGUAGCCCGCGUUGGAUUAGGUAGUUGGUGAGGUAAAGGCUCACCAAGCCGACGAUCCAUAGCUGGUCUGAGAGGAUGAUCAGCCACACUGGGACUGAGACACGGCCCAGACUCCUACGGGAGGCAGCAGUAGGGAAUCUUGCGCAAUGGGCGAAAGCCUGACGCAGCCAUGCCGCGUGAAUGAUGAAGGUCUUAGGAUUGUAAAAUUCUUUCACCGGGGAAGAUAAUGACGGUACCCGGAGAAGAAGCCCCGGCUAACUUCGUGCCAGCAGCCGCGGUAAUACGAAGGGGGCUAGCGUUGCUCGGAAUUACUGGGCGUAAAGGGCGCGUAGGCGGAUAGUUUAGUCAGAGGUAAAAGCCCAGGGCUCAACCUUGGAACUGCCUUUGAUACUGGCUAUCUUGAGUUCGGGAGAGGUGAGUGGAAUGCCGAGUGUAGAGGUGAAAUUCGUAGA